rnacentral:rRNA from 1 species
UAUCUCUGUAGAGUCUGCAUAUCAAUAAGCGGAGGAAAAGAAACUAACUAGGAUUCCCUUAGUAACGGCGAGUGAAGCGGGAAGAGCUCAAAUUUGAAAUCUUCAAGGUUUUACCUUGACGAAUUGUAGUUUAAAGAAGUGUUUUCUGUUGGUGUUUUGGUAAAAGUUCUUUGGAAUAGGACAUCAUAGAGGGUGAGAAUCCCGUAUUUGACCAUUACUUCCAGCGUUGUGAUACACUUUCAAAGAGUCGGAUUGUUUGGGAAUGCAGUCCAAAAUGGGUGGUAAACUUCAUCUAAAGCUAAAUAUUGGCGAGAGACCGAUAGCGAACAAGUACCGUGAGGGAAAGAUGAAAAGAACUUUGAAAAGAGAGUUAAACAGUACGUGAAAUUGUCAAAAGGGAAGCGUUUGACACCAGUGUUGUUUUCUCGAAAAUCAAUUAAAAAAAGUUGGAUUUUGUAUUGUUAAGACCUUAUCAGCUUACUGUACUCUUUUCUUGCUUUUUUUAAUGCACUUUUCGUUUAACAAGUCAACAUCAAUUUCUUUUGUUGUAAAAGAGUCAUUGGAAGGUGGCUUUCACUUCGGUGAAAGUGUUUAUAGCCUUUGGCCUCUGCAAUCGGAGAGAUUGAGGUCUGCAGCGUAGAUCCUUCGGGGUUAGAUACAGUUAGAUGCUAAGUUAUAGCCUUUUCAUAGACAACUUGUUGACUAUAAUCAAUCAUGUAGCUUACUCGCUUAUGCGCUAUUUUACCUACGCUUAGGAUGUUGACGAGACUGUCGAUCUC